rnacentral:rRNA from 1 species
GAGGAAUAUUGGGCAAUGCCCGCAAGGGUGACCCAGCAACGCCGCGUGGAGGAUGAAAGCCGUAAGGUUGUAAACUCCUGUGAGAGGGGACGAAUGAUUACGUUUCGUAAGGAACGUGAAGUGACUGUACCCUCAGAGGAAGCCCCGGCUAACUACGUGCCAGCAGCCGCGGUAAUACGUAGGGGGCAAGCGUUGUCCGGAUUUACUGGGUGGAAAGGGCGCGUA